rnacentral:rRNA from 1 species
GACGAACGCUGGCGGCGUGCUUAACACAUGCAAGUCGAACGGAAAGGCCCUGCUUUUGUGGGGUGCUCGAGUGGCGAACGGGUGAGUAACACGUGAGUAACCUGCCCUUGACUUUGGGAUAACUUCAGGAAACUGGGGCUAAUACCGGCUACGAGCUCCUGCUGCAUGGUGGGGGUUGGAAAGUUUCGGCGGUUGGGGAUGGACCUGCGGAUUAUCAGCUUGUUGGUGGGGUAGUGGCUUACCAAGGCUUUGACGGGUAGCCGGCCUGAGAGGGUGACCGGCCACAAUGGGACUGAGGUACGGCGCAGACUCCUGCGGGAGGCAGCAGUGGGGAAUAUUGCACAAUGGGCGGAAGCCUGAUGCAGCAACGCCGCGUGCGGGAUGACGGCCUUCGGGUUGUAAACCGCUUUCGCCUGUGACGAAGCGUGAGGGACGGUAAUGGGUAAAGAAGCACCGGCUAACUACGUG